GACGAACGCUGGCGGCGUGCUUAACACAUGCAAGUCGAACGGAAAGGCCCUGCUUUUGUGGGGUGCUCGAGUGGCGAACGGGUGAGUAACACGUGAGUAACCUGCCCUUGACUUUGGGAUAACUUCAGGAAACUGGGGCUAAUACCGGAUAGGAGCUCCUGCUGCAUGGUGGGGGUUGGAAAGUUUCGGCGGUUGGGGAUGGACUCGCGGCUUAUCAGCUUGUUGGUGGGGUAGUGGCAUACCAAGGCUUUGACGGGUAGCCGGCCUGAGAGGGUGACCGGCCACAUUGGGACUGAGAUACGGCCCAGACUCCUACGGGAGGCAGCAGUGGGGAAUAUUGCACAGUGGGCGGAAGCCUGAUGCAGCAACGCCGCGUGCGGGAUGACGGCCUUCGGGUUGUAAACCGCUUUCGCCUGUGACGAAGCGUGAGUGACGGUAAUGGGUAAAGAAGCACCGGCUAACUACGUG
rnacentral:rRNA from 1 species